UUUCCGUAGGUGAACCUGCGGAAGGAUCAUUAAAAGAUUUAGCAUAUUCUUCUGAAUAUACUUCAUUAGCCCAUUCCGAGUACCUUACCCGUUGCUUCCGCGAGGCUGUCCUCACGGCCCUUUGAAGAUUUAUCUUUGGAGAGUCCUUGCGGGAGGUAUACAAUAAACUCUUGCAUUACCAUGUCAUCUGUCUGAAUCUGUUUAAAACAAAUAUUAAAACUUUCAACAACGGAUCUCUUGGUUCUC
rnacentral:misc_RNA from 1 species